CAGCAGCCGCGGUAAUGCGAAGGGGGCUAGCGUUGUUCGGAUUUACUGGGCGUAAAGGGCGCGUAGGCGGACUGAUAAGUCAGGGGUGAAAUCCCAAGGCUCAACCUUGGAACUGCCUUUGAUACUGUUUGUCUUGAGUUCGAGAGAGGUAAGUGGAACUGCGAGUGUAGAGGUGAAAUUCGUAGGUAUUCGCAAGAACACCAGUGGCGAAGGCGGCUUACUGGCUCGAUACUGACGCUGAGGCGCGAAAGCUAGGGGAGCGAACAGGAUUAGAUACCCGAGUAGUCCCUGUCUCUUAUAA
rnacentral:rRNA from 1 species